AAAGAGAAGAAGAAACCU
rnacentral:sRNA from 1 species